rnacentral:rRNA from 1 species
UGCAGUCGAGCGGACAGAAGGGAGCUUGCUCCCGGAUGUUAGCGGCGGACGGGUGAGUAACACGUGGGUAACCUGCCUGUAAGACUGGGAUAACUCCGGGAAACCGGAGCUAAUACCGGAUAGUUCCUUGAACCGCAUGGUUCAAGGAUGAAAGACGGUUUCGGCUGUCACUUACAGAUGGACCCGCGGCGCAUUAGCUAGUUGGUGGGGUAAUGGCUCACCAAGGCGACGAUGCGUAGCCGACCUGAGAGGGUGAUCGGCCACACUGGGACUGAGACACGGCCCAGACUCCUACGGGAGGCAGCAGUAGGGAAUCUUCCGCAAUGGACGAAAGUCUGACGGAGCAACGCCGCGUGAGUGAUGAAGGUUUUCGGAUCGUAAAGCUCUGUUGUUAGGGAAGAACAAGUGCGAGAGUAACUGCUCGCACCUUGACGGUACCUAACCAGAAAGCCACGGCUAACUACGUGCCAGCAGCCGCGGUAAUACGUAGGUGGCAAGCGUUGUCCGGAAUUAUUGGGCGUAAAGGGCUCGCAGGCGGUUUCUUAAGUCUGAUGUGAAAGCCCCCGGCUCAACCGGGGAGGGUCAUUGGAAACUGGGAAACUUGAGUGCAGAAGAGGAGAGUGGAAUUCCACGUGUAGCGGUGAAAUGCGUAGAGAUGUGGAGGAACACCAGUGGCGAAGGCGACUCUCUGGUCUGUAACUGACGCUGAGGAGCGAAAGCGUGGGGAGCGAACAGGAUUAGAUACCCUGGUAGUCCACGCCGUANACGAUGAGUGCUAAGUGUUAGGGGGUUUCCGCCCCUUAGUGCUGCAGCUAACGCAUUAAGCACUCCGCCUGGCGAGUACGGUCGCAAGACUGAAACUCANAGGAAUUGACGGGGGCCCGCACAAGCGGUGGAGCAUGUGGUUUAAUUNNAAGCAACGCGAAGAACCUUACCAGGUCUUGACAUCCUCUGACAACCCUAGAGAUAGGGCUUUCC